GUAAUUUGUAAAAUUUUUGAAUAUUUUAAAUAUAUUUGUGCACAAGAACAUGCAAUAUCUAAUUUACCAUUAGCCGCAGCUUAAGCCGGAAUAUUUAGAAGAUUAAUAAAUAAGCCUACAACUGAACCAAACCAUAUUUAAAACAUUUAAUUAAAAAGGCUUAGAUAUUGCAUAGAACCGUGAACCGAACCCUGAGAAUCACUUUGGUUUGAACCGCAAGCUAAAAUUGUAUAUUUGGCCCUGCAGACUUGCCUUUAAGUACCCGGAUUUGAAAGUUCUUAGAGCAUUCGCUCUUCGUGGUUGGCUUUGUGCUUUAAUUCUGAUUACUUUGUUAUUGCUCGCUGACACUUUAAGCUCCGGUGCCGUCGCCGUCGACGUCGACGUUGCCUGCUACUCAUGGAUUUGGUUUAUUUGUUGUUUUGUGCGAUUUUUUAUUAAUUUUGUCUUUUCUAGGUCAAUUCCGCAGACGGAAGCAGUUUGACCAGAAUAAACUUUUUCCACUCUUGGCUUUUUCUAUGCACACGGCUCUAGCAGCAACUGGCAGUCCCAAUGGAGGCACACACACACACACAGUCACACACAAGCCAACACACACACUCAGACACAUGGAAGGCAUUUUUCUAGGCGCUAUUGUUAGCGUCUUUUCUUAGCACAUUAUUUAUUAUGUUUUUUUUUUCGCGCACUUUCUUUGUCAAACUAUUUUUCGGUGGCACAAAAAAAAACAAACAAAAACACGGCAUGAAAAUAAAGAAAACCAAGCAUAAAAGAGCCCAAAAGCCUGGCAAAGAAAUGAAUUAUAUGUGCCUGAACAAUAAUUAACUUUAUAUGUGUGUCUUCUAUUGAAAAGAAUUGUUAAAAAAAGAUAAAUAAAAGCCCGAUAUCUAUUCAAGA